GACGCAACGCGAAGAACCUUACCAAGGCUUGACAUACACCGGAAAGCAUCAGAGAUGGUGCCCCCCUUGUGGUCGGUGUACAGGUGGUGCAUGGCUGUCGUCAGCUCGUGUCGUGAGAUGUUGGGUUAAGUCCCGCAACGAGCGCAACCCUUGUCCCGUGUUGCCAGCAGGCCCUUGUGGUGCUGGGGACUCACGGGAGACCGCCGGGGUCAACUCGGAGGAAGGUGGGGACGACGUCAAGUCAUCAUGCCCCUUAUGUCUUGGGCUGCACACGUGCUACAAUGGCCGGUACAAUGAGCUGCGAUACCGCGAGGUGGAGCGAAUCUCAAAAAGCCGGUCUCAGUUCGGAUUGGGGUCUGCAACUCGACCCCAUGAAGUCGGAGUCGCUAGUAAUCGCAGAUCAGCAUUGCUGCGGUGAAUACGUUCCCGGGCCUUGUACACACCGCCCGUCACGUCACGAAAGUCGGUAACACCCGAAGCCGGUGGCCCAACCCCUUGUGGGAGGGAGCUGUCGAAGGUGGGACUGGCGAUUGGGACG
rnacentral:rRNA from 1 species